UACGUAGGUGGCAAGCGUUGUCCGGAUUUAUUUGGGUUUAAAGGGUGCGUAGGCGGCCCUGUAAGUCAGUGCUGAAAUAUCCCGGCUUAACCGGGAGGGUGGCAUUGAUACUGCGGGGCUAGAGUACAGAUGAGGUAGGCGGAAUUGACGGUGUAGCGGUGAAAUGCUUAGAUAUCAGGAGGAACACCGGUGGCGAAGGCGGAUCUCUGGGCCAUUUACUGACGCUGAGGAGCGAAAGCGUGGGGAGCGAACAGG
rnacentral:rRNA from 1 species